rnacentral:lncRNA from 1 species
AUAAUAUAAAUAUUUGUAAAAACCUCUAUUAUAUAUUCGCAAAAAAGGUAAAAACAUCCAGUAAUAAUUAUAUGUAGCAAACUGAAUGGUACAAUAUGAAACUGUAGUGGUUGGUUCAUAAUAAACUGACAACAUAAAAGCCAUAACAAUAUGGCCAAACAAAUACAUUGCACAAGAGGCAACUACUUUACUCAUUCCCUUAAAAUGGGAGUAAAUUGAAAAGGGCGUUGAUAUACAACUUUAUAUUGAGUUAGACACGAGUCGACUUAGAAAGCUCAAAGGAGUUGUCAAUCUCACCUGAUAAACAACAUUCUCCAUCUUUUCAAAUCUGUCACGGUAUGAGAAUGUAAGGAGUUAGGUUAAUAAGGGCAUGCCAAAAUAUUAUCUGUGAUAGUAGGCCAUUUCCUAGAAGCAAAUAACUAUAAGAAAAAGAAAGAUCUUGUAUGCAAUUAGCCUAGAACAUUGACUGAAUGUCAAUAUUUGCAAUAGCCAAGACACCUAAUAAAAUAUGAAGGCACUUUAUUUUUCUAUUUGUGAGAUGUAGCUACAAACAAAUGGUACCAGGUAAAAGCAAUGGCGUAAUCGUUCUUUCCCAUGGAAAUGGUCAGAAAAAAUCGAAAGCUGAUGGUUAUAAUUUUCACUCCAAAAUCU